AUCAGAUGGACUUUCUCCUGCGAUGGUCGACGGGAGGAAAAAUCAGGCUCUCUGUCUCUCUACCUCCCCCCGGUUCUGGCCCGGGGCGCGUCCACGAGAGACAGCGGGGGAGGGGAGGGGAAGUUAUACUGGCGACUAUUCCGCGAAAGCCGACGGAGUAACGUGGGGAAAGAAGAGAGAGCGGCGGAGGAGAGAGAAGAGAUCGGGCGUGG
rnacentral:lncRNA from 1 species